rnacentral:rRNA from 1 species
GAUGAACGCUGGCGGCGUGCCUAAUACAUGCAAGUCGAGCGAACAGACGACGAGCUUGCUCCUCUGACGUUAGCGGCGGACGGGUGAGUAACACGUGGAUAACCUACCUAUAAGACUGGGAUAACUUCGGGAAACCGGAGCUAAUACCGGAUAAUAUAUUGAACCGCAUGGUUCAAUAGUGAAAGACGGUUUUGCUGUCACUUAUAGAUGGAUCCGCGCCGCAUUAGCUAGUUGGUAAGGUAACGGCUUACCAAGGCAACGAUGCGUAGCCGACCUGAGAGGGUGAUCGGCCACACUGGAACUGAGACACGGUCCAGACUCCUACGGGAGGCAGCAGUAGGGAAUCUUCCGCAAUGGGCGAAAGCUUGACGGAGCAACGCCGCGUGAGUGAUGAAGGUCUUCGGAUCGUAAAACUCUGUUAUUAGGGAAGAACAAAUGUGUAAGUAACUAUGCACGUCUUGACGGUACCUAAUCAGAAAGCCACGGCUAACUACGUG